CGUUGUCGUCUAGGGUUAUUCCCGUGUUCUUCUUCGCCUCUUCUGCGUCAAGCAAUCUUCCAUCUUCUUCAUCACAAAGAUACAAGUUACAGAUUAAUUCCCUUAAAACCUUCAAUUAAUAUUUCAUUCACGAUCUACAUUUAAUGAGAGUUCUGCUUCUCCAAGGCGGUGGAGGUUCUAAUAUAAAAAGGCUUGCCGCUCCUCCUGCACUGGUCAAGUCCGGAUCCGUUUCUGGGUUAAUUCCCUUAAAACCUUCAAUUAAUAUUUCAUUCACGAUCUACAUUUAAUGAGAGUUCUGCUUCUCCAAGGCGGUGGAGGUUCUAAUAUAAAAAGGCUUGCCGCUCCUCCUGCACUGGUCAAGUCCGGAUCCGUUUCUGGGAGACUAGGAAUGUCCACCGUGGUGGAGAGCUCUUGGUCCUGGGAGUGGAUAUGCUGCUACUAGAUUCUCAGGAUUGGUAAUUCGCGUGGUUUUGCAUUUGUUCGAUUUAAGUAUAAAAACGAAGCUCCCAAAGCAGUGGAAAGGCUUGAAGUUACUGCCACCCAUUCGCACGUUUAGUGUUUUCAAUGGAAUGCAGCAGUCGAGUUUGUGUGGGUGGUGAACACGAAAGAAAAAGUUGUAGCAAAUCAUCUCAAGCUGGAGAUAAUUCGGCUUGGGAAGAAGGAGCUUCAUGAAGCAAAAAGUGUGGGUGAAACCAAGGUUGAACUUCAAGGAGUUGCAGGAGUUCAAGCAUGCUGGUGAUGAUUCCCUUACCAUUACUCCCUCCUAUCUUGACUGCAAAUAAGAUGAACAUGAAUCUAGAUGGGGGGAAGUUCCAUGAGGUGAUCAUUUCUCUUUUCAAAACUUUCUUCCUCGCAUUGGUUUUGUUAGUUUUCUCAGAGCUGUGUUUGAUCCAAUGGAACGAUCAGAUUUGAUGUGGGGAGAAAAUGAGCUUAUGGCUCAAGAAAUCUGUCUUAUUCUCACCAACUCAUUAACACAAAUCUUAGCAUUUGUUUCAUGUCUGAUCUUGGAGUCAUUGGUGAGAUUCAACAUGUUGGAAAGAGGUCUACUUGGAUAGACCCAUCAUCACUCGAAUGUUUGUUAUCAGCAACGGUGAACAGCAUCAACACAUCGACAGAACACAAUGACAGAACAAAGAGAUGACGACAGCAACAACAGCAAGCCAAGUCUUUGAAGAGAAACAGUGACGGGACAGGAAGUCACUUCCGUAUUUUUCACUAUUUUAUGGAGGGUCAAACCAGAAAUUAGCAAGACGGAGACCAAGUGGAAAACCCGAUGAAAUCAUAACAGAACAUUUGUCUUUAAGAGCUGAAACAAUGAAUCUUGAAAGUCAAAACAAUUCCAUUUCUCGCAUUUGUCAAAAGAACCACAAUCAAUGUAUGUUAACUUAUACAUUAUCUCACUAAAUAUUCACACCUUUAUAUCAAUGACU